rnacentral:lncRNA from 1 species
AACCUUGAUGUUGAUGGAUAUAAUUAUGGUGAAUUGAGCUGAAAUGCUAUCUGUAGCAAAAAGACUCUGUUGUCAUCAAUUUGUUUUCGAUGAUGGAGCUUCAAAAUCAACGAUCGAUACCGUUGAACACGAUCUAUACCACUGGAAGUAUCUAGAAACCAAAUUUCAAGAUACUUCAAGCAGUAUAAAUCAGGUUCAACGGUCUCGAUCAUCGAUUUGGAAGCUUUAUUAUCGAAAACAAAUAGAUGGCAACGAAAUUCAUUUACUAUCAAUAACAUUCUGGCUCAACUCGAAUUAUGGUAGUUUCAUAUUAAAAUGGUAUACUAAAAAGAUUUUAUUCU